rnacentral:rRNA from 1 species
UACGUAGGGUGCAAGCGUUGUCCGGAAUUAUUGGGCGUAAAGAGCUCGUAGGCGGUUCGUCGCGUCGGCUGUGAAAACCUGAGGCUCAACCUCAGGCCUGCAGUCGAUACGGGCGGACUUGAGUACUGCAGGGGAGACUGGAAUUCCUGGUGUAGCGGUGAAAUGCGCAGAUAUCAGGAGGAACACCAGUGGCGAAGGCGGGUCUCUGGGCAGUAACUGACGCUGAGGAGCGAAAGCGUGGGGAGCGAACAGG